rnacentral:rRNA from 1 species
GAUGAACGCUGGCGGCGUGCCUAAUACAUGCAAGUCGAGCGAACAGACGAGGAGCUUGCUCCUCAGACGUUAGCGGCGGACGGGUGAGUAACACGUGGAUAACCUACCUAUAAGACUGGGAUAACUUCGGGAAACCGGAGCUAAUACCGGAUAAUAUAUUGAACCGCAUUGUUCAAUAGUGAAAGACGGUUUUGCUGUCACUUAUAGAUGGCUCCGCGCCGCAUUAGCUAGUUGGUAAGGUAACGGCUUACCAAGGCAACGAUGCGUAGCCGACCUGAGAGGGUGAUCGGCCACACUGGAACUGAGACACGGUCCAGACUCCUACGGGAGGCAGCAGUAGGGAAUCUUCCGCAAUGGGCGAAAGCCUGACGGAGCAACGCCGCGUGAGUGAUGAAGGUCUUCGGAUCGUAAAACUCUGUUAUUAGGGAAGAACAAAUGUGUAAGUAACUAUGCGCGUCUUGACGGUACCUAAUCAGAAAGCCACGGCUAACUACGUG